AUGAACGCUAGCGGCAGGCCUAACACAUGCAAGUCGAGGGGCAGCACGUUAAAGAGUUUACUCUUUAUGGUGGCGACCGGCGGACGGGUGCGUAACGCGUAUGCAACCUGCCUGACACAGGGGGAUAAUCCGAAGAAAUUUGGUCUAAUACCCCAUAAUACCGAUAUAGGCAUCUAUGUUGGUUGAAAGCUUUGGUGGUGUCAGAUGGGCAUGCGUUGUAUUAGCUAGUUGGUGAGGUAACGGCUCACCAAGGCGACGAUACAUAGGGGGACUGAGAGGUUAACCCCCCACACUGGUACUGAGACACGGACCAGACUCCUACGGGAGGCAGCAGUGAGGAAUAUUGGUCAAUGGGCGGAAGCCUGAACCAGCCAUGCCGCGUGCAGGAAGACGGCUCUAUGAGUUGUAAACUGCUUUUGUACUAGGGUAAUUUGCGGUACGUGUACCGUAUUGAAAGUAUAGUACGAAUAAGGAUCGGCUAACUCCGUGCCAGCAGCCGCGGUAAUACGGAGGAUCCAAGCGUUAUCCGGAUUUAUUGGGUUUAAAGGGUGCGUAGGCGGCAGAUUAAGUUAGAGGUGAAAUUCCGAGGCUCAACCUUGGCACUGCCUCUGAUACUGGUUUGCUAGCGAGUAGAUGCUGUAGGCGGAAUGUGUGGUGUAGCGGUGAAAUGCAUAGAGAUCACACAGAACACCGAUUGCGAAGGCAGCUUACAAAUCUAUAUCGGACGCUGAGGCACGAAAGCGUGGGGAGCAAACAGGAUUAGAUACCCUGGUAGUCCACGCUGUAAACGAUGAAUACUAGGUGUGCGGUGACUGACCCCCUGCGUGCCGCAGCUAACGCAAUAAGUAUUCCACCUGGGGAGUACGAUCGCAAGGUUGAAACUCAAAGGAAUUGACGGGGGCCCGCACAAGCGGAGGAACAUGUGGUUUAAUUCGAUGAUACACGAGGAACCUUACCCGGGCUUGAAAGUUAGUGACGGAUGCCGAAAGGUGUCUUCCCUUCGGGGCACGAAACUAGGUGCUGCAUGGUUGUCGUCAGCUCGUGCCGUGAGGUGUCGGGUUAAGUCCCAUAACGAGCGCAACCCCUAUCGUUAGUUACCAGCACGUGAAGGUGGGGACUCUAACGAGACUGCCGGUGUAAGCCGAGAGGAGGGUGGGGAUGAUGUCAAAUCAGCACGGCCCUUACGUCCGGGGCGACACACGUGUUACAAUGGUCGGUACAGAGGGCAGCUACCUGGUGACAGGAUGCGAAUCUCGAAAGCCGGUCUCAGUUCGGAUUGGAGGCUGAAACUCGCCUCCAUGAAGUUGGAUUCGCUAGUAAUCGCGCAUCAGCCAUGGCGCGGUGAAUACGUUCCCGGGCCUUGUACACACCGCCCGUCAAGCCAUGGGAGUCGGGGGUGCCUGAAGUACGUUACCGCGAGGAGCGUCCUAGGGCAAAACUGAUGACUGGGGCU
rnacentral:rRNA from 1 species